rnacentral:rRNA from 1 species
UUGAACGCUGGCGGCGUGCCUAACACAUGCAAGUCGAGCGGCAGCGCGGGAGCAAUCCUGGCGGCGAGCGGCGGACGGGUGAGUAAUGCUUGGGAAUCUGCCUGUUAGUGGGGGACGAACCCGGGGAAACGUCGGGCGUAAUACCGCAUACGCACUACGGUGGAAAGACCGGGGACCGGCAAGGCCUGGCGCUAACAGAUGAGCCCAAGUCGGAUUAGCUAGUUGGUAGGGUAACGGCCUACCAAGGCGACGAUCCGUAACUGGUCUGAGAGGACGACCAGUCACACCGGAACUGAGACACGGUCCGGACUCCUA